AGAUUGGACAAUGGGGGGAACCCUGAUCCAGCCAUGCCGCGUGUGUGAAGAAGGCCUUUUGGUUGUAAAGCACUUUAAUCGAGGAGGAGGCUACUCGAGUUAAUACCUAGGGAUCGUGGACGUUCCUCGCUGAAUAGGCACCGGCUAACUCUGUUCCAGCAGCCGAGGUAAUACAGAGGGUGCAAGCGUUAAUCGGAUUUACUGGGCGUAAAGCGCGCGUAGGUGGCCAAUUAAGUCAGAUGUGAAAUCCCCGAGAUUAACUUGGGAAUUGCAUUCGAUACUGGUUGGCUAGAGUAUGGGAGAGGAUGGUAGAAUUCCAGGUGUAGCGGUGAAAUGCGUAGAGAUCUGGAGGAAUACCGAUGGCGAAGGCAGCCAUCUGGCCUAAUACUGACACUGAGGUGCGAAAGCAUGGGGAGCAAACAG
rnacentral:rRNA from 1 species